rnacentral:rRNA from 1 species
AGCAGCCGCGGUAAUUCCAGCUCCAAUAGCGUAUAUUAAAGUUGCUGCAGUUAAAAAGCUCGUAGUUGAAUUUCGGGACUAAUAUGUCGGUCGUGCCUCGGUACGUACUGGUUUAUUGGUUUCUCCUUUCUGAAGAACCAUGAUGUCAUUUAUUUGGUGUCGUGGGGAAUCAGGACUGUUACUUUGAAAAAUUAGAGUGUUUAAAGCAGGCUCACGCUUGAAUACAUUAGCAUGGAAUAAUGAAAUAGGACGUUUGAUUCUAUUUUGUUGGUUUCUAGGAUCGACGUAAUGAUUAAUAGGGAUAGUUGGGGGCAUUAGUAUUCAAUUGUCAGAGGUGAAAUUCUUGGAUUUAUUGAAGACUAACUACUGCGAAAGCAUUUGCCAAGGAUGUUUUCAUUAAUCAAGAACGAAAGUUAGGGGAUCGAAGACGAUCAGAUACCGUCGUAGUCC